rnacentral:misc_RNA from 1 species
UCUCCGUUGGUGAACCAGCGGAGGGAUCAUUACAGAGUUUUCACAACUCCCAACCCUUGCGAACCGUACCCAUUCUGUUCUCGCUGCUUCCGGCGGGGGGGACGGGGGGGCCCGAAACGGCCUCCCCGCCCCGCCCGCCGGGGGCGGCGGGCCCUACGAACCUUUAUAUCUCAACCUCCGGAAACCGUCUGAGAAAACAAACAAAAUAAUCAAAACUUUCAACAACGGAUCUCUUGGCUCUG